GGCUGGCUUGGGCGAUCUGCAGGAAGCCGCACCGGUCCGCAGCUGCCCAGCCAGGUACCAGAGACUUGCAAAGGGAACCCAUGCUCGUCUGUAAUAAUUUACAGGACCCCGUUUGGGCUCCCUGGUUGAGAUAAAUACAUCGACCCACGCAGGUAGAAUUUUCUUCUCAAGAGUCUUUUUCUUCUCCUGACUCCAUGGGAGAAGUUUCCCAUUUCCAGCUCUGGAGAAAGCGCGGAAACCGAGGUGGCAGGGAGCUGUGGAAAGCGGAGGUUGCUUGGGAGAGGCCUGGGCUGUGGAGUCCCCGGGCGGCUCCCGCGACUUGUCUGUAAUGCUUCCGCGCUGUAGGCCCUGGAUGCUGGCGUGGCCGUGCAGGUUGUAGAGCUGCAGACCGGGAUGGACCGGCUGGUGCGAGGCUCGGGUACGAGUGGAGCCGGUGUUCUCGCACCGCGGCUUGCAACCGGCCUACACAGUUCCCGCUGCAGCGGCAGAAAUAAAGGGGACUGACGUCAAGAAAGCAUCCCAACGCUUUCCCGCUCUUCAGGAGCUGCCUCCACCCCGUCCUCGCCGCCGCAUCCUUGUUUUUGAAUAAAUUUACUGAGAA
rnacentral:lncRNA from 1 species